rnacentral:rRNA from 1 species
GAUGAACGCUGGCGGCGUGCCUAAUACAUGCAAGUCGAGCGAACAGACGAGGAGCUUGCUCCUCUGACGUUAGCGGCGGACGGGUGAGUAACACGUGGAUAACAUACCUAUAAGACUGGGAUAACUUCGGGAAACCGGAGCUAAUACCGGAUAAUAUAUUGAACCGCAUGGUUCAAUAGUGAAAGACGGUUUUGCUGUCACUUAUAGAUGGAUCCGCGCCGCAUUAGCUAGUUGGUAAGGUAACGGCUUACCAAGGCGACGAUGCGUAGCCGACCUGAGAGGGUGAUCGGCCACACUGGAACUGAGACACGGUCCAGACUCCUACGGGAGGCAGCAGUAGGGAAUCUUCCGCAAUGGGCGAAAGCCUGACGGAGCAACGCCGCGUGAGUGAUGAAGGUCUUCGGAUCGUAAAACUCUGUUAUUAGGGAAGAACAAAUGUGUAAGUAACUAUGCACGUCUUGACGGUACCUAAUCAGAAAGCCACGGCUAACUACGUG